rnacentral:rRNA from 1 species
AGGUUUGAUUAUGGCUCAGGAUGAACGCUAGCGACAGGCUUAACACAUGCAAGUCGAGGGGCAGCACAGGUAGCAAUACCGGGUGGCGACCGGCGCACGGGUGAGUAACGCGUAUGCAACUUACCUAUCAGAGGGGGAUAACCCGGCGAAAGUCGGACUAAUACCGCAUGAAGCAGGGGCCCCGCAUGGGGAUAUUUGCUAAAGAUUCAUCGCUGAUAGAUAGGCAUGCGUUCCAUUAGGCAGUUGGCGGGGUAACGGCCCACCAAACCGACGAUGGAUAGGGGUUCUGAGAGGAAGGUCCCCCACAUUGGUACUGAGACACGGACCAA